CUCAGUAACAGCCCUUUGGAUAUAUACUCUGGAAAACUUCCAGCUGGGUUCCUGCUAGUAAUACAAAAUCAUCUUACAAAUUAAGGAUCUGGCAACUGAAACCUCAAAUUUCUGAAACUGUAACCCACUUCCAAAUGAUGACCGAUACUAAAUACAAGACUGAAAUAUUAAAGACAGAUCAUCAUGAUCUUGAUUAUUUAGAAGGGGUAAAAGUGCCAGAAAAACGUCAAGCCUGGAUAUGAAGAAAGCAGACUUUGGGCUGCUCAGGGAACUAGUGCCAGAAAAUAGCUUUUAGAAGAUUUGCUCCAUCACCUUCCCAGGGGCAGAGGUGAAGUUUAUUGGCACAUAGUGGAAACUUUCUGCUUUGGAUAUAUGUUGCUUUGCAAGAUGGCAG